UCUCCGUAGGUGAACCUGCGGAGGGAUCAUUAUAGAGUUCUCGCCCCUCCGGGUAGAUCUCCCACCCACUGUGAUUGAUACUGUGUUGCUUUGGCGGGCCGCCGGGCCCUGCCCGUCCGCCGGCACCGGCUGGCGCGCGCCCGCCAGAGCCUCCGCAAACUCUGAAUGUCAGUGUCGUCUGAGUACUAUAUAAUAGUUAAAACUUUCAACAACGGAUCUCUUGGUUCUG
rnacentral:misc_RNA from 1 species